GCGGCGGACGGGUGAGUAACACGUGGGCAACCUGCCCUGCAGACUGGGAUAACUUCGGGAAACCGGAGCUAAUACCGGAUAACACCGAAAACCGCAUGGUUUUCGGUUGAAAGGCGGCUUUUACCUGUCACUGCAGGAUGGGCCCGCGGCGCAUUACCUAGUUGGUGAGGUAACGGCUCACCAAGGCAACAAUGCGUAGCCAACCUGAAAGGGUGACCGGCCACACUGGGACUGAAACACGGCCCAAACUCCUACGGGAGGCAGCAGUAGGGAAUCUUCCGCAAUGGACAAAAGUCUGACGGAGCAACGCCGCGUGAGCGAAGAAGGUCUUCGGAUCGUAAAGCUCUGUUGUCAGGGAAGAACAAGUGCCGUUCGAACAGGGCGGUACCUUGACGGUACCUGACGAGGAAGCCACGGCUAACUACGUGCCAGCAGCCGCGGUAAUAC
rnacentral:rRNA from 1 species